UCCCGGGCACCGAUCCCGUCGCUAUGAAGACUGCAACCAUUUGAAGCCGCCGAUCCCCUUGCCAUCGUUGAUCCCUUUGCAACGUUCAGGAGCCGACGCCGAUCCCCUUCAGGAGCCAUCUGAUAUGAACGCACGGGCACGCCGAUCCCAUUCAGGAGCCGACGCAGGAUGAGGCAAGCCCCCGCGCGUCAAUCGCAGAGAGCCUCGCGAUGCAGGUGAGCUCAUUCCCGCGGCCUCUUUCGGUGCCAAUUUGGCGUGGUUUGGACGGUGCUUUCUCCGGACAUCUGCCCGGCAGCGCUAUGCGGGCUCCCCUCCAAGUCCUCGGUGCACGCCCAGGCCAAGAAUCUGUUGUUGGCCCCGCCCUCGGAAAUCCGUUGCUGCUGUUAUCGAUCCCACUCCCAAAUGGAUUCCCGAGUCCCGAAAAAUAGGUGUUUUCUGAUCUAUCUGUGUACUGAUUUGUAUCUUUCUUUCUUCGUCUGCGUGUGAUGGCCAGGUACUGCUGCUGCCAGUCAGGAUGCAAGAAUCUGCUACCAAUACUGCAAAAGGAAGAUUUCUACAAUAACAAGAAGGAAGUAUUGUAUUUUCUCGCCAUUGCCCGUGAGGGCAAAAUUUGGUAACUGGUGCAUUGUUAAUGUUAUCCAUUAUGCCUUUCAUCACCACAACCCCCCUUCCUCCUAUAAAGUGGCAUCCUAUCUUUUCUCAAAUUCCUCUUCUCAACACAAAAAUCGUCGUCUAAAGGUCUUAUUAUUAUCAUGUUAAACGCUCUUUUUUGUUGACAUGUGUUCCUUCCCUUUUAUCUUGCAUAGGGAAAAUAGGGCCAGAGUAAAAUUUGUCAACUGCACUUUGUGAUGUUGGCGCUUGGGGUCAGAUGGUCCAUCGAUUGUAGGUAUAAUUGACUGCAUUAGCUGUUCCCAUGUAGCUGUUUUGUAGUACUAUUGAUUUAACUGCCACUGUUUAUUCCAGAUUUUUAUGCCUUCUGUAGGUGUAAAUGUAAUAGACUGAUAAUUGGCGACAGGAGAUACCUGCAUGUAUGCCACAUUGGGUGACCUUCAGAUAAUGCUCACCUUCAGGGAAAGCUUAUCAUAGGUAUUUUCUCUGGCCAGAUUGUUUGCUGAAUGUGUGGAACUGUAUAAUACGAAGUCAUCUCCGUUCACAAUCCUUGGUAGGUUGCAGAACUGCUUGUCUUCCUUGGUUAUGAAUCCAACUAAAUUAAUCCCUGCUAACGUGUGUUUUGUGCUCAACUGCACUGCAAUUUGUCUAUGCUGAACCAACUAAGUGGUUAUCUUCUAGGUGUGAGAUAUUUACAUUUAUUGAUUUUUAAGUCUACAAGGAAUGUCUUAUUUUCCACUUCUUGAUUAGCUGACUAUGCUCUUCUCCACCUUGCUCAUGGGGCACACAUACAUGUAAAUAUGCCUUUUUGGCUUUCCCGUUUCAGAAAUAGUAUCCAUGAAGUUUAUUGAAGAGAGCGACUCAUUUUUUAUACUGGAUGGGAACGCUUCCAUCAUAGGCUCCAUCUCAUCCGAUCUUUGAGCCGGUCUAUUUUCAACAUUUAUACGAAGAAGAUCUAGCACCAAAGGUUCACCAUCGGGAUUAACACUGUUUCAGCGAUGAUAUAUCUCCAGCUGCAUUAUUAACGAGCUUUCCAAUGACACCAUAUUGUUUUAGGUGAACACUUUUGCUGCCACACCCACAUGUUGUUUUACGUGAACACUUUCCAAUGGCUCAUUGUUGCUCAGUUACAAUUGUGUCGCAAUACUAUUUUGUAGGGAUGUACUUCCCCUGGUAUACCAAUGACGGAUCUAUGUGCUCCCAAUUGUAACAUAGAUUGUAUUUUUUUUCAUCCAUGAUUUAACUUUCUUGCAAGCAAAUUCCUACACAACGCAUUAAUUUAUAUCUUGGAGCUUAUCUAUGUGCUCCCUCUGUAAAGAAAUAUAAGAUCUUUUAUAUCAGACCUAAGUUAUCAUGCUCGAGGAAAAAGAGAAUGAAAAUAUGGAAAUUUGUACGUAAUGCAC
rnacentral:lncRNA from 1 species